rnacentral:lncRNA from 1 species
UUAUAUUCAUUGUCAGGUCCUUCCAAAAGUUAUGCUGCAUGUAAUGUGAAAGCUUUUGUCUUUGUUGGAUUCGUGAGGCUCUAAGUUUAGUUCCGAUUAGUUCUAAACUUGGGAAUUUUUUUUGGCCUGCGUUUCUUCUCAGUUUUCGAUUUUUUUUUCCUAAGUGUCCUGUCUAAGAGCUUCUCAUUUCUGAAUUUUGCUUAUCUGCUGUAAAGCAAUACUAGAUUAAGAUAGGUCAGAAUUGAAGAUUAUUAAUGCUUUUGUGGAUUGACGACUGCUUUACUCCAUUUUUUAUGAAUACUUAAUACACACUGCCUACUAUCUUAGUGAUUUACUCCAUUGACAGGAAUUCAUCUUUGGGUUCUUAUAUUGAUUGAUGAUUGCCCUUUACUUAUGUUUCCACGAUUUCCCAGUUUAAUUUUGCUUAAAUUGUGUCACUUAUUGCCUCAUAGAGUACAAAGCUACACCUGAUUAAUUGAUUUCAUUUUUACUAUAACAUUUAUCAGAUCAAGGGUACUUCAGAUGGUAUAUAGAAGUGUUUAGGUAGAUUCGUGGUGGGACAUAAUGUAGAGCCUUACUUUUUUCUCAUGUAUUUGAGAGUGGAGCUAUAGAAUGUCAUAUCUAGAGCAUGUCUUGAUUGGUAGAAGGCCCCUACGCACACAGGAGAUGUUUUUGCUAAAUUGUUAACUCUUUGUUUUCCUAAUCUGGCAUUUAACAUUUAAUUACAACCAUUAGGGACUGGUAUUAUUUGAGAGUGGAACUAUAGAAUAUCAUAUCUAGAGCAUGCCUUACUUGGUAGAAAACCCCUACGCACACAGGAGACGUUUUUGCUAAAAUGUUAACUCUUUGUUCUCCUAAUCUGGCAUUUAACAUUUGAUUACAACCAUUAGGGAAUGGUAUCUAAUAUUAAUUUGCAUUCAAAUUUUAAAUUGAAUUUUAAAAUAAAUUUAAAUUCUCAUUUCGAACGUAAAUUUUGUGAAGUUUGAUUUCAAUUUUUUUUUUGGUUUGAUUUUGAUAUUUGAAUUUGCAUUCAAAAUUAAAAUUUUAAUUUAAAGUAAUAUUAAUAGCUAUAAUAAUUUACUAUUGUAUUAUACUAUUUUAUUGUCUUCCCGCCGCAUCGCGCGGGUCCCGUACCUAGUAUUGGAUUAAGACAUAGCUAUGUAAAACAACUGAUAUCAGAUGGCAUAAUUACCAUUGAUUUUGUAAGAUCAAACCAAAAUCUUGCGGAUCCGUUGACUAAGGGACUUCCAAGAGAAUUGAUAUUCAAGACAUCAAUUGGGAUGGGUCUCAAGCCCAUAUUACAAAGUCACCAAUGAUGGAAACUCGACUUAACACUUGAAACAUCAUCAAGUCUUAAGUUCAAUGAGCCAAAGUACAUCAUAUAGAGUGUUUGCAAGUAUUAUAAUAUAAAAUUUCCAUCCCAAGUAAAGUGCUUGGUAUCCAUAUUGAAAAGGGAAGGUUGAGCUAAUAAAGUUCUUAAUAGACUGUAUUUACUGAAGUGUUAAAUACGGGACACUUCUGGUAGAGUCUACCUAUAUGAAUGUGAAGUGUGGCCGCUUCUAGGAGUUAAGGGCUUGACUCUAACAGCAUUCAUGAAACAGAAUGCAGACACAAGGCCAUAAAAGUGUCAGCAAUAAAAUAAAGUCUCAAUUGAUUAUAAAUUUCUAUGUGUGAGAUAUGUCUAGUUAGUCGAAAAUAAUUGUUGGUUCAAAGCUUGUCUACCAUUCAAUUAUGACUAACUUUGAGGUGUUUUCACGAAGUGUAGGUUCAAGUUUUAAUACACCUACACCUAUGCAUAUGAUUUUGUCAAGUUGUCAAGAAUUUCGAUUUUUGAUUUUUGAUUUUGUUUUAUUUUUCAUUUUGAUGUAUUUUUAUGUAUUUUAAAAAUUGGUGGGGAAUUGUAAGAAAAUUUUUAAAAUAAUAUAUUUUGUUUAUUGAUUUUUAGUGAAUGGAUGUGAUCCUUAGUGAAUGGAUGUGAUCCUUAGUGAAUGGAUGCAACCCUUAAUGAAUGGAUGCAACCCUUAGUGAGUGGAUGCAACCCUUAGUGAGUGGAUGCAACUCUAAUCAAAGGGUGUGAUUCUUAGAGUGAAAGGAUGUGACUUUUAGUAAAAUGAUAUGACAUGAAAAGACACAUCUUUAUAGUGUGUCUCUUCGAGUAUAUGUCCGUUGGAAUUAAUUCUUACAUUCAUUGAACUUGACUCAUAAAACUAAUUGGUAGUUAUGAUCAAAUAAAAUGUCACAAUUGAAGGGAUACUUCAUGAAACACCCGCUCAUGAAUAGUCACUUCAUGAAGCACCCGUUUGUGGUCUAUAUAAGUCCACAGCGUUGGUUGCAGAAAUAGAAGAAGAAACAGUUGAAGAGUUUAAGUCUCCAUUCAUAAUAAUUCCAUUUCUAUUUUCUUAUUCAUUUUGGCAACUUAAUCGAGUGAGUGCUCAAAGGCUCAACUUCGUAUGUGCAAACGUAGUUGAGGUUUAUCCUUCAUUGUAUCCUGGGAGGUUGUUCGUUGACCCGGUGCACACCAAAUUGUUAGAACGGUGGGGACGGAUUAAGCCUUAAGAAAAGUGGCAUUGCUACACGCCUUAAAGCCUUUUUCAUCUUUCUAUUUCAUACCUUUUUUCACUAUCUGAUCCAACAUAUAAUAAUUAUUAAAAAAAAUAUAAGCAAUAGGGUGGCGAAGACGAUGAUGUU